rnacentral:rRNA from 1 species
GGCGAACGGGUGAGUAAUAUAUCGGAACGUACCCAAGAGUGGGGGAUAACGUAGCGAAAGUUACGCUAAUACCGCAUACGAUCUAUGGAUGAAAGUGGGGGAUCGCAAGACCUCAUGCUCCUGGAGCGGCCGAUAUCUGAUUAGCUAGUUGGUAGGGUAAAGGCCUACCAAGGCUACGAUCAGUAGCUGGUCUGAGAGGACGACCAGCCACACUGGAACUGAGACACGGUCCAGACUCCUACGGGAGGCAGCAGUGGGGAAUUUUGGACAAUGGGCGCAAGCCUGAUCCAGCAAUGCCGCGUGAGUGAAGAAGGCCUUCGGGUUGUAAAGCUCUUUUGUCAGGGAAGAAACGGUAGAGGCUAAUAUCCUUUGCUAAUGACGGUACCUGAAGAAUAAGCACCGGCUAACUACGUGCCAGCAGCCGCGGUAAUACGUAGGGUGCAAGCGUUAAUCGGAAUUACUGGGCGUAAAGCGUGCGCAGGCGGUUUUGUAAGUCUGUCGUGAAAGCCCCGGGCUCAACCUGGGAAUUGCGAUGGAGACUGCAAGGCUUGAAUCUGGCAGAGGGGGGUAGAAUUCCACGUGUAGCAGUGAAAUGCGUAGAGAUGUGGAGGAACACCGAUGGCGAAGGCAGCCCCCUGGGUCAAGAUUGACGCUCAUGCACGAAAGCGUGGGGAGCAAACAGGAUUAGAUACCCUGGUAGUCC